GUGCCGGCUAACAGCCGGGCGGAGUAAUCCGACGGAAAGCGCAACAGAGAGGUAAAUUGCCCAGUAAUGGGCGAGGGUGAAACGGUGGUGUAAGAGACCACCGGCGCGGGCAGUAAUGUCUGCGGCUAGGCAAACCCCACCGGGAGCAAGGCCAAGCAGGCGCAUUGGGGCGACUCGUCCCGUAAAAAGCGCUGGGUGUGCUGCUCGAUUCCAUCUGGCAACGGAUGGGACAGAUAGAUGAUCGCCACCUCGCAAGGGGUACAGAAGGCGGCUUAUAGGUCGUAACCUAGA
rnacentral:RNase_P_RNA from 1 species